CCUCUUUUUAGCCAGGGAAGAAGCGAAAAGUGACGGUACCUGCCAGAAAAAGCGCCGGGCUAACUACGUGCCAGCAGCCGCGGUAAUACGUAGGGCGCAAGCGUUAUCCGGAAUUAUUGGGCGUAAAGAGCUCGUAGGCGGUUUGUCGCGUCUGCUGUGAAAUCCCCGAGGCUCAACCUCGGGCCCUGCAGUGGGUACGGGCAGACUAGAGUGCGGUAGGGGAGAUUGGAAUUCCUGGUGUAGCGGUGGAAUGCGCAGAUAUCAGGAGGAACACCGAUGGCGAAGGCAGAUCUCUGGGCCGUAACUGACGCUGAGGAGCGAAAGGGUGGGGAGCAAACAGGCUUAGAUACCCUGGUAGUCCACCCCGUAAACGUUGGGAACUAGUUGUGGGGGUCCAUUCCACGGAUUCCGUGACGCAGCUAACGCAUUAAGUUCCCCGCCUGGGGGAGUACGGCCGCAAGGCUAAAACUCAAAGGGAAUUGACGGGGGACCCGCACAAGCGGCGGAACCAGGCGGAUUAAUUUCGAUGCAACGGCGAAGAACCUUACCAAGGCUUGACAUAUACCAAGAACGGGCCCAGAAAUGGUCAACUCUUUGGACA
rnacentral:rRNA from 1 species